rnacentral:rRNA from 1 species
ACAGUCGAUGGUGAAAUCUUCGAGCUUAACUCGGAGCCUGCCUUCGAUACUUCCAUUCUUGAGUGCAGGAGAGGGUAGUGGAAUUCCCGGUGUAGCGGUGGAAUGCGCAGAUAUCGGGAGGAACACCUGUUGCGAAGGCGGCAACCUUGCCUGACACUGACGCUGAGGCGCGAAAGCGUGGGUAGCAAACAGGCUUAGAUACCCUGGUAGUCCACGCCGUAAACGAUGGGUACUAGACGUCGGAGGAUUUCGACCCCUCCGGUGCCGAAGUUAACGCAUUAAGUACCCCGCCUGGGGAGUACGAUCGCAAGGUUGAAACUCAAAGGAAUUGACGGGGCCCCGCACAAGCGGUGGAGCAUGUUGUUUAAUUCGAUGCGACGCGAAGAACCUUACCUGGCCUGGAAGUGCAGCUGCUUAUCCGGUGAAAGCCGGACUCCUUCGAGGGUGCUGCAGAGGUGCUGCAUGGCUGUCGUCAGCUCGUGUCGUAAGAUGUUGGGUUAAGUCCCGCAACGAGCGCAACCCUUACCGUUAGUUGCCAUCAGAUCCUUGAGAUGCUGGGAACUCUAACGGGACUGCCCGGGUUAACCGGGAGGAAGGUGGGGAUGACGUCAAGUCCUCAUGGCCCUUACGGCCAGGUCUACAAACGUGCUACAAUGGAUGGUACAAAGGGCUGCAAAAUCGCGAGGUUAAGCUAAUCCCAAAAAACCAUCCCCAGUUCGGAUUGCAGUCUGCAACUCGACUGCAUGAAGUCGGAAUCGCUAGUAAUCGCUGAUCAGCAGGCAGCGGUGAAUACGUUCCCGGGGCUUGUAC